UUCGCAAUGCCCGAAAGGGUGACGAAGCGACGCCGCGUGUGGGAAGAAGGCCUUCGGGUUGUAAACCGCUGUCGGGAGUUAGGAAAUGCAAGGAUGUUAAUAGCGUCUUUGCUUGACUAAGGCUCCGGAGGAAGCCACGGCUAACUCCGUGCCAGCAGCCGCGGUAAUACAGAGGCGGCAAGCGUUGUUCGGAAUUAUUGGGCGUAAAGAGCACGUAGGCGGCCGUGUAAGUCGGUUGUGAAAGCCUUCUGCUUAACGGAAGAACAGCAUCCGAUACUGCAUGGCUUGAGUGCGGGAGGGGAGGGUGGAACUUCUGGUGGAGCGGUGAAAUGCGUAGAUAUCAGAAGGAACGCCGGCGGCGAAAGCGGCUCUCUGGCCCGUAACUGACGCUGAGUGUGCGAAAGCUAGGGGAGCAAACGGGAUUAGAUACCCCGGUAGUCCUAGCCGUAAACGAUGGGCACUAAGUAGAGGGGUUUU
rnacentral:rRNA from 1 species